GGGUUGUGAGGUUAAGCGACUAAGCGUACACGGUGGAUGCCCUGGCAGUCAGAGGCGAUGAAGGGCGUGCUAAUCUGCGAUAAGCGCCGGUAAGGUGAUAUGAACCGUUAUAACCGGCGAUACCCGAAUGGGGAAACCCAGUGUGACUCGUCACACUAUCAUUAACUGAAUCCAUAGGUUAAUGAGGCGAACCGGGGGAACUGAAACAUCUAAGUACCCCGAGGAAAAGAAAUCAACCGAGAUUCCCCCAGUAGCGGCGAGCGAACGGGGAGGAGCCCAGAGCCUGAAUCAGCAUGUGUGUUAGUGGAAGCGUCUGGAAAGGCGCGCGAUACAGGGUGACAGCCCCGUACACAAAAGCGCAUGUGCUGUGAGCUCGAUGAGUAGGGCGGGACACGUGGUAUCCUGUCUGAAUAUGGGGGGACCAUCCUCCAAGGCUAAAUACUCCUGACUGACCGAUAGUGAACCAGUACCGUGAGGGAAAGGCGAAAAGAACCCCGGCGAGGGGAGUGAAAAAGAACCUGAAACCGUGUACGUACAAGCAGUGGGAGCACCCUUUGGGUGUGACUGCGUACCUUUUGUAUAAUGGGUCAGCGACUUAUAUUCUGUAGCAAGGUU
rnacentral:rRNA from 1 species